AUUGCUCACGUGCAAUAAAGCAAGGAGUCCAGUAUUCCGAUGCAGCAGAGCUGAGCGCCAGAACAUCUUGCAUCCCUCUGCAUAAACUUGGCCCCGGGCUCUCCACCGGGCACCAGAUGGACUCUUAUUUUCUGUACAGUCAGGACCCAAAGACUAUGCUUCGCAGAGCAUUCUGGGAAGUGUAGUCUGGGCCUGUCGACUCGCCCACUUCCGCUUCCGGCCAGCGCACAGCGGUAUGGAGGUUUCCAGGUUAGGGGUCAAAACCGAGCUGUAGUCGCCGGCCUACACCAGAGCCACAGCAAGGAGGGAUCCGGGCUGCGUCUGCAAUCUACACGACAGCUCACGGCAACGCCGGAUCCCAAACCCACUGGGCAAGGCCAGGGACCGAACCUUCAACCUCAUGGUUCCUAGUCGGAUUCGUUCACCACUGCGCCACCACUGGAACUCCGGUAUCGUUUCUUAAGAGAUGCCUUGCUUUCCUGGGAGUGUUCUUUGCCAGAGAGAAUUACAAAGAAGAGGAAAGACUAAACCCUGGCCUCUUGUCAUUAGAGCCCCAGGUCGGCCUUCUCAAGCCUCAGCCCUUCCCAGGAUGGGGAAGACAAGACCAAGUUUCAGGUGGGUGGAGUUUUUCUCCAGAAGUAACAGUUUAAGACAUCAGAGAGUCAACGUACCUCCCUCCCUUGGAAAAAGAAAAAAAAUUGAUUGGGCAAGCUCCUCACAUAACUCUGUGCAUUUAUCUCCCAGUAGCGACGAGAGAGGUCGGAUGAUCCUGUCUGAGAGAUGAAGAAAUGCAUGUAAAUCCUAGGUUUGAACCCAG
rnacentral:lncRNA from 1 species